rnacentral:lncRNA from 1 species
GACGGCAACAAGAGCAACGAGGACGGCAAAGGCAAAGGCAAGCACAAGCACUCAGGAGGAGACAGCAGCGACGGUGACGAGGGGAAAGGCGAAGUGCGCACGUUACCAUCCUCGUCGUCCAGAGCAACAGCGAGCGGCACCGCCAGCAACCUCAACUCGAAGUGUCGCCAUGGCGUGCUCGCGGUGAUCAACUGCUGGGCGACGAACUCUAUGGAAGGUUGGCAAAAGAAUAGGGACCGAGUGAGCAGCUUGGAUGAUGAGACAUUGAGCCGUCAAGGAGUAGCAAGAAGGUAA